rnacentral:rRNA from 1 species
UACGUAGGGACCGAGCGUUAUCCGGAUUCAUUGGGCGUAAAGAGCUCGUAGGCGGCUAUUCAAGUCGAACGUGAAAUCUCGGGGCUCAACUCCGAGCCUGCGUUCGAUACUGGGUAGCUAGAGUCUGGUAGGGGGAUCUGGAAUUCCUGGUGUAGCGGUGGAAUGCGCAGAUAUCAGGAGGAACACCGGUGGCGAAGGCGCCACUCUGGGCCGGUACUGACGCUGAGGAGCGAAAGCGUGGGGAGCGAACAGG